rnacentral:rRNA from 1 species
UUUAACUGAAGAGUUUGAUCAUGGCUCAGAUUGAACGCUGGCGGCAGGCUUAACACAUGCAAGUCGAGCGGGGGAAGGUAGCUUGCUACCGGACCUAGCGGCGGACGGGUGAGUAAUGCUUAGGAAUCUGCCUAUUAGUGGGGGACAACAUCUCGAAAGGGAUGCUAAUACCGCAUACGUCCUACGGGAGAAAGCAGGGGAUCUUCGGACCUUGCGCUAAUAGAUGAGCCUAAGUCGGAUUAGCUAGUUGGUGGGGUAAAGGCCUACCAAGGCGACGAUCUGUAGCGGGUCUGAGAGGAUGAUCCGCCACACUGGGACUGAGACACGGCCCAGACUCCUACGGGAGGCAGCAGUGGGGAAUAUUGGACAAUGGGCGCAAGCCUGAUCCAGCCAUGCCGCG